GAUUAUUCACUUUACUUUCACUCUAAUCUAAGCUUAGCUUUUUUUUUUUAACUAAAAUAUAGACAUUGUUUUUUGAAUAAAGCUUCAUGAUGACAAUUCCAUGCAUGUUUUCAUGCAAAAAAGGGAAGCUUAGAUCAUUAUCUUUCAACUUUUGGAAAUGCAUGUCAAAAGGUGAGUUUCAUUUUGGACUAUACUAGAUUCACAAUAAAGAGUGUUUUUUCUGUCUUUUAUUUCAGGCCUGAAGCAUGUUCUUUUCCUCUUUUUGGAUAGAAACUAAAGUAGUAGUAUUAUACCGUGUUCGGAGUAAAAAAGGCAACUUUUUCUUUCAAAAUGCAGAAAUGGCUUUUGAAUUAUUUUUUCCUACGAAAAUUGGACAAUGAGAUCCUUUCUUAAUUUUAACAUCAUUAAGGGCAUCUAAAAUUUGAUCUUAGUACUUCCUCUGUUUUAAUUCAUGUGUCCAUUGAUACGUUAUUUAACUAGAUACAAAAUUUAAUAUACAUUAUUUUAGACUAUGUAUAGUGUUAUUUUUGUUGGGAGAGUGAGAGAAUUAAAUCUCACAUUGGAACUAGAAAGAAAAAGAACUUGUUUGUAAGGUGUUGGAUAAUUACUUGGCUAUUCUUGAUGGUGUGAGGUUUUCUAUUUUUUUUAAAAUUGUGAGAAUUUGGUCUAAAUUAAAUAAUAUCAUACCGUGUUUAGAGCAUUUUAAUUGAUCAUUUAAAGAUUGAUGUACCUACCUUACAUGUUUAGAUGCAGAGAAAAUUAUUACUCUUAAUUAUUCAGUGUUUAAAUUUAAUGAAAGACAAGGAAUUUUUAGUAAUCAAACAUAUGUAUUCAUAUUAACACAUUUUAAUCUUGGAAAAAGUUCAAAGUACGUAGCAUUCACACUAGGAAAGUUCCUAUGAGUAAAAUUUAAUUGAAUAAGUAUUUGCAAAGUAUUUUUAUGUAAAAGGUACUUGCGCACAUUCAUAAUCUAAUUUCAAAAAAAAAGUUGCAAGAGAAUUUAAGACUAGAUUCCCUUCACUUAGCAUCAACAUUUAGCAUUAAUUAAUUAAUAGUAAGAUUUAAGUGAAAGUGCGGCGUUCCACAUAUAUAAUACUAUACUUCUAUAGUCUAAGUGAAAGGAAUUAGGCAUUAAUUAGUCCACACUAAUUACUUGCGUGGGCCCUUCUUCUUAAUUAAUUACCUACCCUUGCCAUGCAAAAGAAGCAAUUAAUUAAUUACUAGCCAACUUAGUUCAGCUAGCUAGCUAUAGCUACACAUAAUCAAAAUUCUACUCGCUAUGUAUAUAUAGCUCCUUAAAUGAAUUAAUUAGGCAUCAUUUUGCUCGGACUCUCCAAUAUUGUUAUCGUAAACUUGUCAGAGUUCGAUCAAUAUCGAUCGUGUAUAUAUAGCUACCAUUUUAAUAAAAUGAACAAAACACACAAUAAGAAAUAAAUCAUGCUUGAUCAUUAUAUUUAUAAUCUUAAAUUAUAAUUUCAAUAUAAUUUGUUUUCGAACCAAGCGAUCCCUAGCUAUACACAUAUUUCAUAGAUUAGGGAGGAGUAAAGAUAUAAUUGAAGAUUAAACUUAGUCCUUAAAACACAUAAAAUUCAUAUUUUCCCAUUACUUCACCAAUAUAUAGUUCAUAAAUCAUAACAAGCAAUAAACUGAAAUACAAAAAAUAAAAUAAAAUUGAAAGCCCCACAAUAAAACCACAAGAUAGCGCUAUUGCAUAGGAGCGGGAGUUUUACCCUGUGCGCACCCAAAGGGUAGCGGCUGCGAAUUUCCCUUGUGAUAAAAAAAAAAAUACAAGAUACGUCUCUAUCCCUUCUGAAAUUAAGCUUAUACCAUUAGAUCAUAGACUGAGACAACACAUACUUAUUUAUUUCCUUAUAUUCUCAACAAUGCAAUACUCAUCACUUGCAAGCCUGAUCCUUUUUCAUGGUCCAAACACGUACAUGGAUGUUCAUACCCAGGACCUUUAAUUUGUUAGCUGGCUCUGAUACCAUCGUCAUGCAUAUUGAAAGUUACUUUUCCUGCUUAUACUCUUCCCAAUUGCUUUCAUCAUGUUGAGGUCCACCACUUGAAGUAGAAUUUCCAAAAUGCGACCCAGAAUAUUUCAUAAAAUCUUCUUCUUCAUCUUCUUGAUAAUUAUAAUUAGUACUUACUUGUUGCUGCUCAUCAUAAACUGGCAAUUCCACUGAUGAUUGCGAAAUAUCAAAAGACGAUCCUGAUGAUGAAUACUGAUAACAAGUACUUGGUGAAGCAUCGAAAUUCAAAUCAAUAUUAUUGUCACUACGAAGUAACAAAUCAGCAUAGUGAUGAACAUUAGGGUAAUUCUGUUCAAACGUAUUAUUUGAUGACGUGGCAGGUGUAAAUUGAUGUUGAUUAAAGUAUUGGAAUUGUCCUUGAACUCUUUCAGGGAAAUUGAGUUUAGCUUUGUUUCCUUUGAAUCUAAGAGCAGCUUCAUCAUAAGCAAGUGCUGCACCUUCUGCUGUUUCAAAAGUACCAAGCCAAACCCUAGCUGCUUUUUUUGGGUCCCGAAUUUCUGCUGCCCAUUUACCCCAUGGUCUUUGACGAACUCCUCUAUACCGCCUUCUUUCUGAAUUCCCUAUGUACAUAAAUUAUUAUGAGAUUAAGUGUCCGUUUGGAUUGACUUAUUUCAGGUGCUAUUAAGCAGUUUUGAAGUGUUUGGGUAAAGUUAAAAAGUGCUUAUAAUAAGCACUUAAAAAUAAGCCAUAAAUUAGAAAUCAUAAUUAACUUAUGGCUUUUGGCUUAUAAGUCAUAAGCCAAAAGUUAAUCUAAACCGGCCUUAAAUAACAAAGUUCACAUGAUAAACAUCAAGCUUCUAGGUUCACUCAUAAAAAAUAAUCAGGUCUGCACGUGAGGGGCCAAGCAAUAAAAAUAUUAAAGUAAAUAAAAAUAUCUUCUCUGGAACAACUUAAAUUUUUAGAUGAGACAAUAUUCACAUAGAAAUAAGAUCUUGUUCUUUUUUCUCCUUAAGCUAUACUUUUUUUUUUUGGUUUCCCACCCGGUGUUCAAAGCCCACGUUGGAGCUCCGACUAAAUUCGGAUCGCACACUGCAAGGCCCAUUCGGGGGUGGCGCUCCCAACUGGAUUUUCUCCAUACCAGGGCUCGAACCCAAGACCUCUGGUUAAGGGUGAAGCACUCCCACCAGUGCACCACUACCCAUGUUGGUCUCCUUAAGCUAUACAUGGAAGAUAAUAUAUGUACCUUGAUCUUGAAUAGACGAUUGAGAUUGAUUUUGCUGAGUAGAUUGUGGAAUUAGGGUUAGUGGAUUAACAUGCACGGCGUCCACGGAGGAAUCACCACCAGCAGAAGAAGAAGAGUUACCAAUGACUUGAGAGAGUGCAGAAACCAUAGCAGACAUGUCUUGUU
rnacentral:lncRNA from 1 species